UACAGAGGGUGCAAGCGUUGUUCGGAAUUAUUGGGCGUAAAGGGCGCGUAGGCGGUGCCACAAGUCACCUGUGAAAUCUCCGGGCUUAACUGGGAGGGUGCGGCGAAAACUGGAAUGCUAGAGGAUGGGAGAGGUAAGCGGAAUUCCUGGUGUAGCGGUGAAAUGCGUAGAUAUCAGGAGGAACACCUGUGGUGUAGACAGCUUACUGGACCAUUUCUGACGCUGAGACACGAAAGCGUGGGUAGCAAACAGG
rnacentral:rRNA from 1 species